CCUGCUUUUGCUAAUCUCGCUCUUCUCCACCCCAAUUUCCCUCACCCCCCGUUUCCCUCUCCCACUAACCACACUAAUUUCCCUCACCCUCCCUCUCCAACUAACCACUCUUUUCCCUCACCUUCCCUCUCCCUUUUCACCAUCAUCCCUCACCCUCUCAUGCUAACCACACUCUUUUCCCUCACCCUCCCUCUCCAACUAACCACUCUUUUCCCUCACCCUCCCUCUCCCUUUUCACCAUCAUCCCUCACCCUCUCAUGCUAACCACACUCUUUUCCCUCACCCUCCCUCUCCAACUAACCACUCUUUUCCCUCACCCUCCCUCUCCCCAUCUUCCCUCACCUUCUCCAACUAACCACACUCUCUUCCCUCACCCGCCUUCUUCCUUUUCACCAUCAUCCCUCACCCUCUCCCACUAACCACACUAUUUUCCCUCACCCUCCCUCUCCCACAUCCUCACCUUCUCCAGGUGUUGCGGAGCAGCUACAGAUGAGUUUCCAGAAGCUGUCUGGUUCCCCUGCGGCCGCUACAUCCUCCGGGCCCAGCCUGCACCACCAGACCGUGGAGAGCAACCCUCCAGCCCUCCAACCUAAAAUACUGGCACCCAGCCCCGAGGGCCUGCAAGCCCAGGUUUUGUAAGAACCACUAUGCGGAGAUGGAGGCCACUCUCCCCAGGAUGUACGACUGGCUACUGGACCGGUUCUCCUUCUUGCUGGGGGUGAAACCUGACUUUGUGUAUGGAAAAAGUACUGAAGGUGGAGAGGCAUUUCCUCAGGAGCAGCAAGCCCUGGGCUAGAGCUUUAACUACGCCCACAAAGACACAGCCCAGAAAACAGGCCAACGGCAAACAAACCAGAAAAACAACUUUGUUCUCUAGGCAGCUAAAGAGAGUGACUUCAUCGGGACCAACUACUAUGGAUUGUUACUGUGCCAUAAUGGCAUGCUGACGGAUUACUUUCGUUUUUGUCUCGAUGCAACAUGAUUGAGUGUUUAUGCCUUUUUGUACAAAUUGCCUCACCGCAUUGCCAAGAAUGAAUGGCAAUGCUCCUGUGGAUUAUAAUGCAAUUACGAUGCGAUAUGAUGUUUAUGAACAUGCUGUACUUUCAGUUAUAUUAAACUAUAUUUUCUGUUAUUACAAUGUUAUACGUGAACCUUUGUCCCAGCUAUGAAUCUGAGGUUCAUAAAAAUCUGACAUUUAUGCACAUAUGGCUUUGCAGCUCUGUUAAUUAGGGAAUACCUGACAUUUUAGGCUAAGACUACAGGCUGACAAUUUGCGUGUUACUUUAGUUUUGAGUGUGAUGGACAGGUAAUGGGUGUUACCUGCCAUUAGGGGUUUUGGACUGCUUUGUCCCAAUGCUCAGGCACUUCUAGGAAACUUUGUAGAAGCACCUAUGACAGUGAUUACAGCUUUAAGUAAUCUUGGGUAUGUCUGUAUCAGCUUUGCACAUCUGGAUUUGGGGAUUUUCUUUCAUUCUUCCUUGCAGAUUUUCUCAAAAUCUGUUAUGUUAGAUGGGGAGAGUGGACAGCAAUCUUCAAGUCACUCCAGAUCAUCACCAAUCCUCCACCAAAUUUCACAGUGGGUGCGAGACCUGGAGAGGCCUACAAGCCACAGUGUCUCGCACCCACUGUGGAAUUUGGUGGAGGAUCUGUGAUGAUCUGGGGGUUCUUCAGCGAGGCUGGAAUCAGGUAGAUUUGUCUUUGUGAAGGAUGCAUGAAUCAAGCCACGUACAAGGUUGUCCUGGAAGAAAACCUGCUUCCUUCUGCUCUGACAAUGUUCCCCAACUCUGAGGAUUGGUUUUUCCAGCAGGACAAUGCUCCAUGCCACACAGCCAGGUCAAUCAAGGUGUGGAUGGAGGACCACCAGAUCAAGACCUUGUCAUGGCCAGCCCAACCUCCAGACCUGAACCCCAUUGAAAACCUCUGGAAUGUGAUCAAGAGGAAGAUGGAUGGUCACAAGCCAUCAAACAAAGCCAAGAUACUUACAUUUUUGCUCCAGGAGUGGCAUACAAUUGGAAAUUCUGAACAUCGCUCCCCAUGAUGGCUGUCUUUCGGAAUGUGUUCCCACCUAUAAAUACCUUGGAGUUUGGUUAGAUGAUCAUCUCUUUUAAAACUAUUAACUGAGAUGGCAAAGAAGCUGAAAUUGAGAAUUAGAUUUUUUUAUAGAAAUAUAUCUUGUCUGUCAUCGGAGCACAGAAAGGAAAUUGUACAGACCACUUAUGUCAGUGCUUGAUUAUGGUGAUAUAUGCAUGGAUCAGCAUCAGUACUGAAGAAAUUGGAUGCAGUGUAUCAUGCAGCGUUGCGCUUUGUUACUGGUGCAAACAUCAUUGCCUUUUAUACACUUUGGUUGGCUUUUAGAAGGGCCAGACACUGGUUGAUAUUUGUCUAUAAAGCUGUCUUGCAGAAACGUCCUAAUUAUUUUAACUAAAAAAUCCAGUGGUCAAACAGAAUUUAUCAGACUCGGUCACAGGACAUGCUAGUGCUAGAGAUACCCUGGAUUCACUCUGUUAGGCUAAACGGCAUUUGAAUAUCAUGCUCCACACUCAUGGAAUGAAUUGCAGUGAGAACUCCAGUUAGAUGUUUUGGUGCCUGUAAGACAGUUUAAAUGCACAUUACAUUAACUUUUUAUUAUAAACUGUAAUUGCUUUUUGUUAUAAACUGUAAUUGCUUUUUGUAAUGUAUUUUUCUUAUAGUGUAUUUAUUUUAAUAUUUUUCAUCUCCGUCUUGUACCUUUUUAUAUGUUUUCAUUUUGUUUGGUUUUAAAUUGUUAUUAAUUGCUGUGUUUGUAUUGUUGUAUCACAGGGCACAACUGUAAAAGAGACUCUGUCUCAGCUUGUUUCCCCUGUUUAAAUAAAUGUUAAUAAAAUAGUCACCCAACAUCAAUGUGAAAAACUGAUGGAGAGCAUGCCAAGACGCAUGAAAUCAGGGUUAUUCUACCAAAUAUUGAUUUCUGAAAUAUCUUCCUAAGUUAAAACAUUAGUAUUGUGUUGUUAAAAAUGAAUAUGAACUUAUUAUCUUUGCAUUAUUCGAGGUCUGACAACACUGCAUAUUUUUUGUCAUUUUCUGCAAAUAAAAUGCUCUAAAUGACAAUAUUUUUACUUGGAAUUUGGGAGAAAUGUUGUCAGUAGUUUAUAGAAUAAAACAAAAAUGUUAAUUUCACCCAAACACAUACCUAUAAAUAGUCAAACCAGAGAAACGGAUAAUUUUGCAAUGGUCUCUUAAUUUUUUCCAGAGCUGCAUGUGGGAACUCAUUCAAGACUGUUAGAAAAGCAUUCCUCAUGAAGCUGGUUGAGAGAAUGCCAAGAGUGUGCAAAGCUGUCAUCAAGGCAAAGGGUGGCUACUUUGAAGAAUAUAAAAUAUAUCUUUAUUUAUUUAAUACUUUUAUGGUUACUACAUUACUUCCUGGUUUUGAUGUCUUCACUACUAUUCUGCAUUGUGGAAAAUAGUAAAAAUAAAGGAAAACCCUUGAAUGAG